rnacentral:misc_RNA from 1 species
GUAAGCACACACCCGCACGCCGCCUCUCUGGCUUCCUCUUGCGCUCUUAUCUGCGCGUGCUGAUAGUGCACAGCCACACCGGACACGGUCGGAAUAAACCCAACAACAAGGCAAACGACCAAAGAGAAAUCGCCUUUUCACCUGUGAGGCCGAUACAGCCGCAGACAAGCAAAAAAGAAGACGAAGCGUUCAGAAAAACAGGAAAGAUACGGUAGAACGCGAGCAAGACACUGGGCAAAAAAAAAAAAAAACAGUCGGGAAGACAAGGAACAGCGCUUCCUAUACAGGCCCCAUACCCAUCCCCCCCACCCCGAAGCCAUAGACGCCUUGAAGACGCAAAGCAUCCCGACCUUUGUUUUCUCCCUUGUUGCCUUUCCCUUGCUCCUGUUUUGCGAGCAUCUGUGCCUUCCUCGACCCCUUUGGCGUGUGCUGAGCGAGCCGGACCACGACUACGCCCAGCAAGCCGUUUCGACACACUCCUUCGCCCCAAUUCCCUCCUUCUCGUGAGCAAGACGAAGUGCUCCACUACCAAAGCAGCCAUCCAUCUUUUCUCGUUUUCAUCUUUGUUGCCCUGCUCUUCUUUCGGAGAGCUUGGGAGGAAGAGACGAGAGCUGUGGUGCGCUUUCCUUGUCCCGGGCGAGUCACAACACGAAGACGCCGAGUACACUUUUGCGCGCACAGACAUAGUCAGAGUGUCCACGCGCAUAGCACGACGUCGCUUCGUCCCUCUCUCUUUCCCCAUUAGAAUCGCUCCAUUGAGAAGUAGCGAAAGGUGCGCCUUCUUUUCUCCUUUUUUCUUUGUUGUUUCAAAAGAGUUGUCUGUCCCUCCUUUAUUCGGUCUCCCCACUUCGUUUUUUUUUUCUCUCCGAAACAGAAAGAGGAAAGCAGAAUACCUAUCUUCUUUACAUUCUCCUUUUUUUGGCUCUUACUGUCUUGCACGUCUUGUUUUGCUUCUCUGCUGCGUGUGUGUGUCUUGUUUUGUCGUUGUGUUUGUGAGUGUCUGUGCGAUCGUUUAUUCAGUGCUACCCGCUCGUGUAUACGUGUUCCCUUUGGGUUUCAACGAAUUUCUUGUCAUUACAGCCCCCUCCCCCCUCCAGGUAGGUAAGCGCAGUAUCACACGACAAGGUAUAGCACAGGCGCGCUCCAUUCACGGAUUGAUGUAAUUUCUCUUGUUUUUCCCGCUCCUUUCGGCCUGCUGUUCUUUUCUGUCGCUUCACCUCCUUUUGAAUCUGUGUGCCUGUGCCUGUGCCUGGCUGUAGCUUUUUUGUUUCAUAUAUAUAUAUAUAUAUACAUAUACAUUUUUCUUGCCUGUGUGUUGCGUGUCUCGCGUUCUCUGCGCCGUGUGUGCCUUCGUCGUGUCGCAGCUUAAUCCUUACCGUUUGCUUGUCUCUGUAUCUCGUUGUCGGCUCUCCCUCUCUCCUUUUUUCUCUUGUCUUUGCGCGUACAGCGCAAGCCAUCGACCCAUCGAAGCCCUUUUGUGGAACAGGAUUAAGCAAGAGAGGAAGAGCAAAGAGCAUCGAGGCAAAGACAUAUACAGCGCUUGAUUGAAUUAGGACGAGUCUCUCUCUACACACAUAUAUAUAUAUUUCUUUCACAAUAUUAUCCUUUCACGUCCUUGAGUGUUUGCUUUUUACCCGAGCUGUUGGCCUCUUCUCCAUCGAAGUCGCCUGCGGUUCUGCCACAAAAGGCGUGCCUUUGGCAAGUUUGCUCAUACACCGUCACGCAUCUGAAAACAAUAAGGAAUCGGCGCACAGGUUCAAACGAGUCGAUUAGCGGCGAAGCACCAAAGUCAGCUCUCUCGUCUGCAAUUCUCUCAGUAAUUUUUGUUGUUUGUGGCGUUGGUUUACGCGGUCUUUGUAUCUCUCGUAUUGCCCUCUUUUUUUUUGCGUUGUUCAUAUUUUUUUUUGGUCGACUCCUUGUCUUUUUCGUGUUUCGCUUUCUCUCUUUUCUCUUCUUGUACGUGUGCGUGGACUUUGAUCAACUCUGCUCUUCCUUGCUCUGUUCUCUCCUUCGUUUUGUUUCGCUUCCUGCCUUUUUCUCUAUCUCCGUGUCUGUGUUCACUUUUGUGAUCAUCUUUUUCUUAAAGAAGAUUCACUAGGACUUCUACUUUACAUAUUGACUCCUUUAUAUAUAUAUAUAUAUAUUUGUGCACCCGUUUGUGCACACGACGGCUUUUUUUUGCCUGCUGCGUUGCCUCCCUCCUCCUCCUUCUGUUUGUUCUUUUUUGGUAUUUCAAGCAAGAAACAAGAGCAAGCUCAAGGUAUUCUUUUGCCGUGCGCAAACAUAUUACUGUGGAUACUUUUUCUGUGCCCCACCUCACCCCUCCCCUCCCUGUGUGUGUGUGUGUGUGUGUGUGCGUGUCUUUUUGUGGGAAAGAGUCAGCGCAAGAAGUGUGACUCACUCGAACGCAAAGCGGCUGGAUACCUUUUCUCCCCUCUUUUUCUCUUCGUAUCUCACCUUGUCUGCUGCCGUCUUUGCGCGUGUACGGACGAGCUGCCUUUUUUCUUGUACAUUUUCUCUUUUACCUUGCUUCGCUCUGUUUUUUUUUUCGUGUCCUGUGUGCACCCCCUCCCCCAAUCGCACACUCCGCCCUCAUUGCCCCUUUUUCUUUUCGAGGAGACGCUAUUCGCUCAUUGCCCCCCCCCCCCCCCCCCGACGACUGUUCUUAUCGGCUUGUUCAGUUUCACCGCCCCUCUCACAUUGUUUUCCCAUCUAUCUUCACGCUUCACCCUGUCGCGUGUCUUCCUUGGCCGUCAGAUCUUUGUUUUCGUUUUUGUGUCCCUCUUUUAUUGUUGUCACCUUUGACCGCUUUCUCGGUCUCUCUCUGAGUGUGCGCUUGUGUGGGUAGCCGCCAGGCGCAGCCUUCUUAAGCCUUGUGUUUCGUGUCUGUUGCCCAUCGCGUACACGUUUGGAGGUGUUCUGCUUGGUCUGGUCCACUUGCUUUCUUUCUGUGCCGUCCUUUAUUGUUUACGUCGGCCUUGGUUUCAUCCAUUUUUGUUUUGGUUUUAUUUCCUUUUUUUUUUCGGCGCUCUUGUCGCUUUCAUUUGUGCUGGCUCUGCUUUGCUCAUAUAUAGAUCUUUUCCUUCUCUCGAUCUCGAUCUGAUUUAUUAUUGCUCUCGAUUAUCAAAUUCUUGUUUCGACCGUGUCGAUUUUUCUUUGUUUUGGUUUUGAAAGGUGUGUGUGCUCACCUUCCUUUUCGGUGUUCUUUCUUUGUAUCCCUCUCUCCUCGUUUUUUUUUUACCGGUUGCUGUCAUUGUUUUGUUUGCUCGUUUCCGGAUUUUUUUUUCGUUUGAUUAUUUAUUCUGCGCAUUUUUUUGUUGUUCUCGUCAAACAGUGCUCAUCUGUUUUUCCUUUCGACAAGGUCUACUGGGCACACAGGUAGCAGGAAACGAUUCUCGUUUUCGUUUUUAUUUUGAUGCGGGGGGUGCGUCUCGCUUGUGCUCUCUAUUUUGUGCAUUUCUCUGUGUCCAGAGGUGUACAGGAUACAGAAACGAGCAUAUUGUGCAUCCCUCUCUCUCUUUCUCUUUGCUGUCUUUUUUUUUCUUCUCGGUCCCUUUAUUUUUUCCCUUGUUUGACUGGUUGACAGACAGUCGAAGCGUCUGUGCUUCAUUGCAACCACUUUGUGUCUCCUACUUUACGCGACACCCUCCUCCUCUCUUUCUGCCCCCCCCCCCCCCCUUCCCGUGUCUUUGCCGCCUCCAGCUUGUAUGUGUGUGGGCGCUCCACAUCGUCAAGAGACUCUUCCACCACGAAAAAAAAAACGUGCUGGCAAGGCACCGAAGUUUUGUCGAGCAGCAGACGGUGGACGUCACCUCCGUCGUGUGCGUUGUCUUCAAGUAGUCGUUGUUGUCCUCUCGACACGUGCUAUCAGGUGGUGUGUGCGUGCGUUGCCACCAUCGUCUUUUGUGUUAUCUUGCCGCAGCCCCUCGACUCUCUCUCUCUUUUUACAGCCUGCUUCGCGCAAGCUCUACGUCGUCCUUCAGGGUUGACUGGAGAUAGCACGUCCGAAGGGAGGGAACAGCGAGAAGGUGGUCAGUGAAGCUGCUCGUGUGCUGCGGUCUCCCACUUCCCUCCGAUCUCAGCCUCGUUGCGGAGUGGAGCAGGAGCCCCCUGGCGCGCGACUGCUGAGCAAAGCGCGUGCGGGGGUGGGACGUGUGACCGAAGCAAAAGGCCGUACCGCCAAGCCGGCACCCGCAAAGUAAAGCGACAUAGAGGGAGGAGAGAGCAAAGCAAGUGCAGACCGGCGCUUGCAGGUGGCAAACGAAGAUAAUCCACUUCCCGAUUCCGCUUCUUCUCGUCUGUUUUUCUCCGUAUUGACCCUCUCCACUUCGCUUCCUCUCCGUUCAUUUAUUUGCUUUGUGCUCUUUUUUUUUCACGGCCGCCGCCCCCCCCCUCUCCUCCUCCUCCGACUCUUCCUUUGUGUGUGUGUGCUCUUUGUGGUGUUCUUUCAGUCUGAGUUUUUUGUUUGUAUUCUUUUCCUUUUUUUUCGGUUUGUUCUGCCUCUUCUCCGUUUGUAUCUGCGUUUACUGACAACGUGACUAGCGCUUCGCUUUUCCCGUUUUCCUUGUGUUGCUCUUUGGCUGUUCCCUCUCUGUAUCCCUGGCUCGGUGUGGUGCCGUGCCCUUCAAAUACAAACUUACGAAAAAAAGGAAACGAAACACACGGACACACAUACACAUACACAUACACAUACACACACACACACAGAUCAAGAGGAGCAGUUGAGUAUACCGACACAUCUAUACGAUAAGAAAGGGAAGAAAAAGAAAAAUACCCCCUGCAAGCAUACCACGGUGCUCGAUUUCGUCGUUUAUUGCGCGCUGUUUCCGUGUGCAUCAUACACAUCACGUACCCCCUUCCUAUCUUUGUCGUUCUCUCGCUUUUGACGUUUACUUGCUUUUUUUUCGUUUUCCAGCUUACUUGACGGCUGCCUCCGAAUCGUUAUCAUUAUAUGUGAGUUAAACUGAAAUUUGGUUUUGUUUAUUCUACCACUCUGCAGCGGCUUACUCAAGCGGGGGUGCUCCGUACCGCUCUUUAGAUAUUUGGCUCCUUUUCUUUGCCUCAUCUCUCUAUUUUUUUUAAAGUUCUCUUUUGUUUUGUUGUUGUUCUUUUUCCGUUGUGCGUUUUGCGAUACGGACUCACGUGAUUGCUCUCCUCUUUGCUUGAUCGCUGAUCCUGACCACGAUUACGACGCCCACUUUUCGACUUCUUUUUUUCCCUUCAUCCCUGUUCGCCUUCAGUUUUUUUUUUUAAAGCGCGGUGAAUCUUGCUUUACUCUUGAAACGUUUCCUCUGCUUCGUCGUGGCGCAGCUCUGAUUCUCUAGUCUGCUGUGCUUUCCGUUCUCCUCCUCGCACUCUUUCCAGGCUGCUCCGUGGAGUAUCUGCAUCUCUCUUUGUUUCUUUCAGAUUGUCCUGCCUUUUUUUUUUGCCACCGCUGCGUCUCAAGCAUUUUCCUCCCCUCUUGCAACCUCCUUCAGUUUUUUUUUACGUUUUUUUUUUGCCUUUUCAGAUAUCUUCUCAUGCACCUUCUCCGUUGUCCCUUUUUCCAGUGCUUUGGGACAUCGAACCUGUUGGAGUUUUUGUGCGCGUGUGGGCUUCCGCUUGCUCUGCUCUCCCCAAAGCGUUCUCGGCGUUCUCUGGGCCGAUCCACACACACAAGCACACACACUCACAUACGCAAGAGGGCAGAAAACGGAGGCAGUUGCCUUACCGCCAGCGCCGCCACUUCGCUUUAAUUCCACUUGUGCGUGUGUGCCUCGAGGUCUUCCAUCUCGCACUCCGUGGACACGUUACUUUCUCGCCUGUGUCGCGAUAACAAAACCGACUCGCGACUUCACACACCGGCGGACGCGCGGAUUGAAAGACAACCCGCUAAUCGAAAAAAAAACAAGCAAAAAAGCUUUUUGGCGCUGAUCCAACUGCAGACUUUUUUUAUUGACACACUCGCACACACGGGCACAUACAGAUACCCAAGGAAAAACACAUAACAACAGCUGCCCCGGCGUCGGAGCAGCAGCAGCGACUGCCGCGGACAGAGAGACUCACGCAAACUAAGGUGAACGCAAAGAAACUAAUUUUUUUAGCAUAUAAACGCGCACUGAUCAAUUGUGGGGCUUGAUUUCGUGUACGCAUUUUUUUUGAUGGUCUGUUCUUUUUCCAUUUAUUAUUAUUUCUGAUUCUCCUUUUUUUUUUUUAAACCGGCGUGUCGUUCUGAAAUUGCAGCCGAUCUACACGAAGAAAGAACUCUAUAGCUGUCGUUCUCCUCCUAUCUUCCGAGUCUGUGGGCGAGUGCUUGUGCGCAUGUCUUUCUCUCUCCAUGCUUUAGACUCUCCCGCAUUGUAAUUGUACUCAAGUAUUUAUUGCCCUCGUUCUUUUCGAGUCUUUUGUUUCUUGCUGGUGCGCGUGGGUGUCUCCUCUUCUUCUUCGUCGAUUUCCUCUUGUUGUUCGUUUUCACUCCCUCUGUUACUCUUCUAGUGUUUUGCUUUGAGCGAGUCGAGGAGAACAAGCGGCGAAAAGCCUCAUCGACAGAGCAGCUCGCAGCUGUCUAUGCAGACGGUUCAACAAACACCGCUAUCUGAUUUUCGGUGUCGGCGAAAGCAAUAUUGAAGGGGGCAAAAAAGAGGCAACGGAACAAGGACACUGCUCGUCAGUCUACAGAGCGUGCGUGAAGCGGAGCUUAUCGUUAUACCCCUCUUGCUUCCUCUCUUGUUGUGCUAAAUCCCUCACUUGGUGUUGCCUCUCUGCACGGUCGGUCCUCCCAUCGCGCAGUGUGCGGAAGAGAGGGUGUUUGGUGGCUUUCUUGCUCCCUUGCAUGCCACCGACGCCCUGACUCUUUUAUUUUUCCUUUUGCCCGGUCUUUUUUAUUUAUCGUGUGUCACAGCUACGUUGACUUUUCGUUCGUACGCAGCACACGAGGUGCCCAGAAUUUUGCAGUUGGCCUUUCGAUUUCCUCUAUUGGUUAGGUUUCUAGUCUUUUUUUCUUUUCUGUUCUUUGCCAGCCGCUGUAGGCCGGUGGGUUCUGGCCACUGGCGCCUUGUGUGCACCGUCGCCUGCACAAGCACGAGGCCAAAAACCAGCGCUGCUCAUUGCGUUUAAACGACCGUUCAAGCACGUAUAGACACGCGCGGAUCAGAGAACACAAGAGGGGGUUUAUACACGUGGUGCCUGGUGAAAGGCAUCAAGGCAUUUUUGCAGGUCUUUCUGUUGCGCUUCUCGCUCCCGUUUCUUUUUUAGCGAUUGCGUGGUUCCUGCCCUCAGCAUUUGAACCUGCUCCUCGCUACGUACGAGGGAGCAGGCGCGAAAAAAAAAACUGAAAAAGACAUGCCUGUCGUGUCUUCCUUUGUAGCGGCGGUGCUACUGGGCGGCGCGCCAAUUCUAGUGGAUACGGUGUCUGUGGAGAGCCGCGCUCACGAGGGAACAAACGGCAACACUUUGUCUUCUCCACAGCAGGACUACCCAGAUUCCGUCGCGUCAGCCUCGAAAAGCACAGUGCUGUCGUCCGGCAGCUCUGCAGCGGGUAGCAGUGACGCUACACGGCCUGCCCACUCGUGGUGGCAGGACCUGUGUGGUAGCCGUGCAUACAGUCGCUGCUUUCUCACGUACGCCGCGCCCGUUGUUUGCGUCUGGCUUCUUCUUUUGGCAGUAGGCUCGUGGUGUCUCACACGGUGGUGGCGCUGCUGCACGCGUUGGCUGAACAGGUGGCGACACUUUGUCGAUGAUGCGUCAGACGCGGAAAACUACAGUGCAGUAAGAUCUGGAGAUGCAAUGGUGUCUCGCCGUGGGCUUCUCUCAGGCCACCGGCUCGACUCGCAGGACGUUCCGGACGAUGAGAGGGCAAUGCACCGUGCGGCAGAAAGCGGCCGCGCUCUUGAUACUUCCUUUCACGCUAACAUCUGGAUCGUGCAGGGAGCGCGCUUGUGUGGAGUGAGGCAGCAGGCACCAGUCGGACUCCUUUAUAUGUCGACUAAGCCAACAGACUCAACUGGCGAGCGAAGGCGCCCGGACUCGAUUGCAGUGGACGCUGGCGAAGGGGCGACGGACAAUACAAGAGAUUCCCGGAAUCUAUCACGAGAUGCUGAUCGCACGCCGUCGGCCUCGCCACGCGCUUCCGCUUCGCUGUCGCACAUGCAGGAAGUGUUGUGCCGCGCUACCGCUAUCACCGACUCCUCCGACACCGGCGAUGACCGCGGCGGUCACAGAGGUGUGAGCAGUUGUGAAAGCAGCACGCGCGAUCGGCGCUGCUCUUGCGAGAGCGACCGCGGCGGGGAAGCGCACGCGGAAGUCGAGCGUCCCGCUCUCCGCGGCGCCGCGGCGGACGAAUGCCGGUCUCCCCUCCACAUCAGAGGCGACGUACUGACACACCUCAUCCACUUCAACAGCUCCUUUGACGCCGAUGACCAACUGCUUACCAGUGAUUGCGAGAACAAUGCCGGUGACAGUCAGCAGCCCCGCGGCGGCCUCGCUGCCAUCACUCGCUCGACAGCGUCUGAUGCGAGCGGUGAGUCGUCGUCGCACACGCCUCCGCCACCGGCGCAUUUGUCCGAGUUAUCGCGUCGCAGCUCAGCAUCGUGUUUGUGUGUGUUUGGCGCGGAUGCCUUCCACGACACUCUCUGUGCGCGCGUCGCACUCCCGCACGUUGCCACCGCUAUCUUCGACGCUGGAAUGACACAUCGCACCGACCGGAGCAUCGCUGACGAUCUUUUUGGCAGAGGCUGCUUCCCGCCUACGCAGCCUUCUAGCGAAGCCCUCUGCACCACGGUGGGGUCGUACAUUAGCGAGGUGGAGUAUUUAGCGCCGCCGUCUGAGCACGAAAGCACGGCUGCGCCAUCCCCUGUGCCUAACGCGGCCUUGCAUAUGCCUGUCACUAGCCCGACAAAGACCGUGCUACCAGCCACGGACGCGCUCAGUGACAGGCUCGACAUGGUGGAGGAGAAGUCGGUGGAGGAGGGGACGGACGGCCCGGCUCUUAGCCGGAGCUGCGUGCCUACCCCACAGCUGCGGCACUUGCCGGCCGCUAAACCGCCGAUGUCACUGAGAAAACGCAGGUCAGAGAGGUACUGUGAGCCAUGGCAGCCAGUCCUUGUUCCUUAUAAGACACCUCCUCUCGCCGCGGCGGCUGUUGUGACGACCCUUUCAAUGUUGUCGCCGCCGAGCUUAUCAUUGCGCAAUCGUGUUCAGCGAAUCCCCGGCACCAACGCACUCGAGGACGAUCUCGACGACCUGAUGCUUGCCGACGAGGUGGACAGCGCUCAGAGCAACACGGCCAGCAACGGCUCUUGCGUCUUCAGUGGAUCGAGCUUGAUCACAUCUCGUGCCCUCACGCCGACUGCGGAGUCUGAACAAGAGAUGGCGGACACACCACUGGUGAGGACAGUGGCACACUGUAGCGACGCUAACGUCUCCUUGGACCUCGAGCCCAAGACGCCGCUCGUGACCGUCAACAACCCUCAACCACCAGCAUCGCCCCCUAUUGCCGUGUACCCUCGUACGGCCGGUGCUGCUCAAACGCUUCUGGGCAAAAACGACGAGGGCUCUCAUGCGCAGUUUGUUUGUUCGCCACAUGUCGAUGUUCCACGGCCAGCACUGAAUCUUUCUGCCGAGGAGCGGACGCUGCUGCUGAAGAGCAAGAAAUGGUUGUUUCCGCUUAUUGACGGUACGGACGAAAUCGAGUAGGUAUUCAAGAAAAGGCAUGUCCAUGCUGCCCACGUGAGGUGCUCUAGGAAGACGAUGAUGAAGGACCGGACUGCAUGUGAGAAGCCAGCGCGCUACUCUGUGUGCGCCUCUGGGCUUUCAUUAUCUAUUUUUUUUUCUGGUUCUCUCUCUGUGUCUGUGCGUCGUCGAGCGUUGGAGUGAGAUGCUCUAGUUGACCGCCUCGCUCUACCGGCGCGAGGCGACGUGUAGGUGCUUUUCUCUCUAUUCUCGCGUUGUCUGCAUGGUUCGCGCGAGCAUCUGUUUUUUUUUUUUCUGCCUUUUUCUUCUGUUAUUUCCUUCAUUGCUGUAUUGAGAUGUCUCUUCGUUAUUUCCACCUUUCUUUGUUCGUGCUCUCCUCGCCGCAGCCUCCCUCUCUCCACCUCACUCUUUCAACCUCACCCUCACCCCUUCUUUGCUCUCUUUGUUUUUUUUUUCUGGUUGGUUGUUUCGUGACUGCUAGGGUUGAGGGAUUGCUGUUGUUUUCUUUUGCGCCAGGUCGAAGGAACAACGCGGGACCUUGCGUGAGUCUUCUGGGAUGCGUUGGUGUUCGAUACCUUUUUUUUUUCUCUUGUGUUUCCUUUGUUGGGGGGGGGGGGGGAGGGGGCGGGGCUGCGGCCUGUGUGUGUGUGUGUGCUUAUGCCUGCUUUGUGUGUGUCGUAUUGGUCAGUGCUGGCGCUUUGCCUGUGAUGUGGGCGAUGCUGUUGUUUGCUCCAGGUAAUCGCUCUUUUUCUUAGCUUGAGUCUCCUCUCCUUUGCGUGCCUCGCUUUCUUUCUCUCUCUCUUUCUGUGCGCGCGCGGAUGCGUGUGUGGUGUUUCUUCUUGUCUUUUGGUUCUUGUUCGCCCUCCUUCCCUUUUUUUUUUCACUCAUCGCCUCGGACUCCUGUCCUCGUGUUCGAAGCAUGUGCGGCUUGUCGCCUUCGUUGGUCAUCUGUGUCACAUUAUCGUUUUUUUUUUGACAUCCUUUCCGGAUCCUCUCGCUCUUCUGCGAGGGAGGAGGGGGGGGGACAAGGGAGACGACAGAAAGGAAAAGAAAAUGGAAACGGCACAAUUAUGAGCCAACGCGGACGUACGUCACGACGCAUGUCGUAAGCGAAGCUCUCGCUACUUGAUGAACAGUAUCCCUUUUUUUUUCUCUAUGCUUCUUUCUCUGGACGUCAAGUGCACAAAAAGCAACAACCACAGCAACGUGAAAACGAGUGGACGUCUUUGGUCGACACUGGAAGCCUGUGGUGUCGCAUGCUGAAUUCUGAGGAGAGGGAGAGGUGGAGGUGGAGGCAACGGACACUGACUCCGGCAGCGUUUUGCCCUGGCGUCUCACUUUUCCUUUGCUGCCUUGCCUGUGCCGCUGCUGAGCGUCAUUCCUGUCCCUUCCCACCAGCCCCGGUAGGCCCAGGAAGCACGCCGUCGCGUUGUGACGCCUCGCCGAUGGUAGCAGUAGCAGCCGCCUUGCGUGGCACUUCUUGCAUCGUCCCGCAGACCGUGAAGGGACAACUACCGAUGUGAGCUCUGUCACUCGUCGUCGUCGAUGCGGCAUUGCCACGGAGCGCUGCAAUCGUUACAGCCUGCAACCCGACUCCCUCUGCCGGUUCCCACACCAUCGUCACUUGCUCCUCUCCCUUCUCUAUCCGUUUUCUAUGUCGGCACCACCACUGUAUCAUAAACACGGGUGGCGCGCUUUGGCGUCUCUCGCGCUUCCAAUAACUGCUCGCGUGGGCGGCUCGCUGCACCGCAUUCCCGAUAUGGCUACAACUGCAUACGCACGCACGCACUGUUUCGGUGGAGGCGGAAG